AGUGAACGCUGGCGGUAGGCCUAACACAUGCAAGUCGAACGACAGCACAGUAAGAGCUUGCUCUUACGGGUGGCGAGUGGCGGACGGGUGAGGAAUACAUCGGAAUCUACCUUUUCGUGGGGGAUAACGUAGGGAAACUUACGCUAAUACCGCAUACGACCUACGGGUGAAAGCAGGGGAUCUUCGGACCUUGCGCGAUUGAAUGAGCCGAUGUCGGAUUAGCUAGUUGGCGGGGUAAAGGCCCACCAAGGCGACGAUCCGUAGCUGGUCUGAGAGGAUGAUCAGCCACACUGGAACUGAGACACGGUCCAGACUCCUACGGGAGGCAGCAGUGGGGAAUAUUGGACAAUGGGCGCAAGCCUGAUCCAGCCAUACCGCGUGGGUGAAGAAGGCCUUCGGGUUGUAAAGCCCUUUUGUUGGGAAAGAAAAGCAGCAGGUUAAUACCCCGCUGUUCUGACGGUACCCAAAGAAUAAGCACCGGCUAACUUCGUG
rnacentral:rRNA from 1 species